GCGCUCGUGUGAUACGGAGUUUCAUCCGGUAAAGCGAAUGAUCAGAGGAGCUGGGCUCCUUGCGAGCUCAACCUAUUCUCAAACUUUCAAUGGGUGAGACGUCUCGCUGGCUUCACUGCAGCGACGACUCUGAAUCCGAGUGCCCAGUGGGCCACUUUUGGUAAGCAGAACUGGCGAUGCGGGAUGAACCGCAUGUCGAGUUAAGGUGCCUAAGCGAACGCAAAUCAGAUACCAUGAAAGGUGUUGAUUGCUCACGACAGCAGGACGGUGGCCAUGGAAGUCGGCAUCCGCUAAGGAGUGUGUAACAACUCACCUGCCGAAGCAAUCAGCCCUGAAAAUGGAUGGCGCUAAAGCGUUCCACCGAUACUCGACCGUCGUCGGCAGGCGACGUGCAUGCCACGUCUCAAGCCACGACGAGUAGGGCGGCGCGGUGGUGAGCGUCGAAGGCGUAGCCGUGAGGCUAGCUGGAGCCGCCAUCGGUGCAGAUCUUGGUGGUAGUAGCAAAUACACAAGCAAGAUCCUUGUGGACCGAUGUGGAGAAGGGUUCCGCGCGAACAGUACUUGGACGUGGGUGAGUCGGCCCUAAGCCAACGGGUAAUUCCCGCAUCCCGUGUUGACCGUUUCUGAAUCGAAUAACAUGGGUUGAU
rnacentral:rRNA from 1 species